rnacentral:rRNA from 1 species
AACGAACGCUGGCGGCAGGCUUAACACAUGCAAGUCGAGCGCCCCGCAAGGGGAGCGGCAGACGGGUGAGUAACGCGUGGGAAUCUACCCAUCUCUACGGAAUAACGCAUGGAGACGUGUGUUAAUACCGUAUACGUCCUUCGGGAGAAAGAUUUAUCGGAGAUGGAUGAGCCCGCGUUGGAUUAGCUAGUUGGUGGGGUAAAGGCCUACCAAGGCGACGAUCCAUAGCUGGUCUGAGAGGAUGAUCAGCCACACUGGGACUGAGACACGGCCCAGACUCCUACGGGAGGCAGCAGUGGGGAAUAUUGGACAAUGGGCGCAAGCCUGAUCCAGCCAUGCCGCGUGAGUGAUGAAGGCCCUAGGGUUGUAAAGCUCUUUCACCGGUGAAGAUAAUGACGGUAACCGGAGAAGAAGCCCCGGCUAACUUCGUGCCAGCCGCCGCAGUAAAAC